GCCUCCUCCAAAACUCAGAUAAAUAUUUGAGCCACCAAAAAAAAAAAACGAGAACAGAUCGGUCUGAAUCGUUAAGAACUGAAGCUAACAUCAUAGAGGUACAUCCUUCCAAGAAUCCAUCAAAACAACAUGCUGAACAACUUCAAGAACUCUCUUCAAAAGACCACACUUUCCUGAAAUAAAUAAAAGAUGCCAAUAUUAAAAUAAAUCAGUUACAUGUAUUGUUAAAUAUUUUAAUACUAGCUGUAAAUGCUACUGCCUUUGAUGUUUGCUUCCUACAUGUAUAUCAUAAUGAAAUAUUGACAAGAUAAUAGCUAAUGUUU